rnacentral:lncRNA from 1 species
AUGACUGAUAUGUAUCAUUUUCCUUAUUAAAUAUGGAAGAAAGGGGAGGAGGAUGCAGAAAUGGUUGGCUAAAAGCUCCAGAGAAAAACUUAACAGAUUUUAUGAUUUUGCGGAAGUGUGUCAUCAUGGCCAGAAACUGAUCAAUCCACGAAUUAGCUGAAAUGGCAAGAACGAUUAGAGAUACAGUGAGGAGGGUCUCGAGUUCCUCUGAGCCUGAUGAUGAGCCAGGACAGGAAGGGGCCUGGGCCUCCAGGCAGCAGCAUCUCUCCAGGAUGCCCCCAGCCACAGCAUAAGGAAUUCCUACACUUUUGUUAUCUUAAACAAAACCUUCUAGAAUUCCUUCUAACUCUAGGAGACUGAAAUGUAUUUUUCUUUCUUUCAACUGUCUCCUGUCUGUCCCUGACUCCCUCACUCCGUUUUUUAAUGUUUGGCCAUUUAUCUCAUGAGCUUACUAAAAAUAAAUUGUAUACUCAGCAAUGGAUAACAUAGAAGAAAUGGAUAAAUUCCUAGAUAUGUACAAUCUUCCAAGAUUGAAUCUUGAAAAAGUAGAAACA